AUUGAACGCUGGCGGCAUGCCUUACACAUGCAAGUCGAACGGUAACGGGCCUUCGGGUGCCGACGAGUGGCGAACGGGUGAGUAAUGCAUCGGAACGUACCUUUCAGUGGGGGAUAACGUAGCGAAAGUUACGCUAAUACCGCAUAUUCUGUGAGCAGGAAAGCAGGGGAUCGCAAGACCUUGCGCUGAUUGAGCGGCCGAUGUCAGAUUAGCUAGUUGGUGAGGUAAGGCUCACCAAGGCGACGAUCUGUAGCGGGUCUGAGAGGAUGAUCCGCCACACUGGAACUGAGACACGGGCCAGACUCCUACGGGAGGCAGCAGUGGGGAAUUUUGGACAAUGGGGGCAACCCUGAUCCAGCCAUGCCGCGUGAGUGAAGAGGGCCUUCGGGUUGUAAAGCUCUUUCGGUCGGGAAGAAAUCGCAUGGGUUAAUACCCUGUGCGGAUGACGGUACCGGCAUAAGAAGCACCGGCUAACUACGUGCCAGCCGCCGCGGUAACAC
rnacentral:rRNA from 1 species